GGGGGGGGCAAGCGUUUGUUUCGGAAUUACUGGGCGUAAAGGGCUCGUAGGCGGCCAACUAAGUCGGACGUGAAAUCCCUCGGCUCAACCGAGGAACUGCGUCCGAUACUGGAUGGCUUGAGUCCGGGAGAGGGAUGCGGAAUUCCAGGUGUAGCGGUGAAAUGCGUAGAUAUCUGGAGGAACACCGGUGGCGAAGGCGGCAUCCUGGACCGGCACUGACGCUGAGGAGCGAAAGCCAGGGGAGCAAACGGGAUUAGAUACCCCGGGUAGUCCUGGCCCUAAACGAUGAAUGCUUGGUGUGGCGGGUAUCGAUCCCUGCCGUGCCGAAGCUAACGCGAUAAGCAUUCCGCCUGGGGAGUACGGUCGCAAGGCUG
rnacentral:rRNA from 1 species